GGGUUUAGCCUGGGAGGGCAUGGCAGCGAGGCUGAGGAGCAUCAUCAAAGCUGACCACAGGCACCAAGCAGGCAUCAACAGGAUCCAGGAAACGCCGAGACACAAAAAAAUCUUGGAAAUAAUCCAUGCGCUGGUGGGAAACCAGCAGAGCAACUCCUGGAUAAUCCUUUAGCUUCACCAGCUGACUGCUUCAUUUACACCGGUGACGGUGACGCCUUCGCCAGGAAGGUAGCGUGGGAACCCGGAACGGGUAACCCGGGAUUGCCGAUACAACUGGGGGCAGGGGUUGCUGCCCACUAGCUCCAAACGACACAAUAUUUUGGACCACAGGUUGGAGGUCCAGUAGUGUCUGGCGAUCAUACCUCAGCAGAGACUUUGUUUCGUGGAUGACACCAGUUAGAAAUAAUAUAAGCAGGAACAAACUUGGAAAUGACAGACGAGCAGCCACACACACCGGCGCCAUCUUGGUCAACAACAAAAGUUCAUCUCAGUACUUUGUUAUAUAGCCUUUGUUGGCAAUGACAGAGGUCAGACGUUUUCUGUAAGUCUUGUAUUUCGGCCCAUUGUUCCAUGCAGAUCUCCUCUAGAGCAGUGAUGUUUUAGGGCUGUCGAUUGGCAACACUUUCAGCUCCCUCCAAAGAUUUUCUGUGGGAUUGGGAUCUGGGGACUGGCUGGGCCACUCCAGGACCUUGAAAUGCUUCUUACAAAGCCACUCCUUCAUCACCUGGGUGCUGUGUUUGGGGUCAUUGUCAUGCUGAAAGACCCAGCCAGUCUUUCAGCAUGACCCAGCAUCUUCAAUGCCUUUGCUCAUGAAAGGAGGUUGUCACUCAAAUUCUCAUGAUACAUGGCCCCAUUCAUUCUUUCCUUUACAGGACUCCCUGCAGAAACAGAAACAGCCCCAAAGCAUGAUGUUUCCUCCCCCAUGCCUCACAGUAGGUAUGCUGUUCUUUGGAUGCAACUCAGCACAUGACAAGUAGAGUUUGUAAUAGAAAGUUCUAUUUUGGUUUCAUCUGACCAAAUGACAUCCUCCCAAUGCUCUUCUGGAUCAUCCAAAUGCUCUCUAGCAAACUUCAGAUGGGGCUGGACAUGGACUGGCUUAAGCAGGGGGACACGUCUGGCACUGCAGGAUUUGAGUGUGUUACUGAUGGUGACCUUUGCUACUUUGGUCCCAGCUGUCUGCAGGUCAUUCACAAGGUCCCACCUGUGUGGUUCUUGUGAUCAUUUUGACCCCACGGGGUGAGAUCUUGCGUGGAGCCCCAGAUCAAGGGGGAUUGUCAGUGGUCUUGUAUGUCUUCCAUUUUCUAAUGAUUGAUCUCUAAGUUGAUUUCUUCACACCAAGCUGCUUACCUAAUGCAGAUGCAGUCUUCCCUGCCUGGUGCAGGUCUACAAUUUUGUUUCUGGUGUCCUUUGACAGCUCUUUGGUCUUCUUGGCCAUAGUGGAGUUUGGAGUGUGACUGUUUAUGGUUGUGGACAGGUGUCUUUUAUACUGAUAAUGAGUUCAAACAGGUGCCAUUAAUACAGGUAACGAGUGGAGGACAGAGGAGCCUCUUACAGAAGAAGUUACAGGUCUGUGAGAGCCGGAAAUCUUGCUUGUUUGUAGGUGACCAAAUACUUAUUUUCCAACAUAAUUUGCAAAUAAAUUCUUUUUAAAUCAGACAAUUCUGAAUUUUUUUUCUCAUUUUGUCUCUCAUAGUUGAGGUAUACCUAUGAUGAAAAUUACAGGCCUCUCUCAUAUUUUUAAGUGGGAGAACUUGCACAAUUGGUGGCUGACUAAAUACUUUUUUGCCCCACUGUAUAAGUGCAAUUUCAACAAUAUAUCUUUUCUAUAUUAUAUUAUAUGCUACUGUAGUGAAUCAAAGAAACCCUAACCCCUAACCCAAAGUUGAACUUACAUGGAAUCGUAACAAUAAAAAAGCACCUCAACUUCUGCGAUGACUGGUUUCGCAGGACUGCCAACAGAAAUGAAAUAGCCUAUAAGAAAAUGCACACUGCCUAUUUUGGCAAACUUCAAAAGAACAAUGAUCAUUUGUCAUGGUCUGUGGUCCUGUGUCUGUGGAGUUUGUGUGUGAUGCUCGGGUAGCCACACCCCCGGGCUGGGCCAUCACCGGCACACCUGCUUUCCAUCGGGGUGAUUACCUGGAGGACUACUUAACCCCGCGCUGACGGAUGCUCCAUGCCAGUCUGUUUAUCACCUCUCUGUGAUUUCGAUCCGGCGUCCAGUGUCUGCCACCUGCCUGUCCUCCUGCUCGAUUGGAUCACCCGGUGCAUCAUCUGGCCUCGUCACUAACUCCACGGAUUCCCUUCUCACGGACUUUCCCACUUCCCUCCCGAGCCCCACGGUCCCACUCCGAUUCCUCCCACGGUCCCGAUUCCGGCUUCCCCGCGUCAUUUGUUUCCCCGGGUUUUUCAGUUCCUUGUUUGCUCCUCUGGUUUUCCCGGGUCGCCUUUUGUUAUUUAUAAUAAAGUGUCUUUUCCU